rnacentral:rRNA from 1 species
UACGUAGGGUGCGAGCGUUGUCCGGAAUUAUUGGGCGUAAAGAGCUCGUAGGCGGUUUGUUGCGUCUAUCGUGAAAACCUGCAGCUUAACUGUGGGCUUGCGGUGGAUACGGGCAGACUUGAGUUCGGUAGGGGAGACUGGAAUUCCACGUGUAGCGGUGAAAUGCGUAGAGAUGUGGAGGAACACCAGUGGCGAAGGCGACUCUGUGGCCUGUAACUGACGCUGAGGCGCGAAAGCGUGGGGAGCAAACAGG